GAAUUCGCCCUUAGUUUGAUCCUGGCUCAGGAUGAACGCUGGCGGCGUGCUUAACACAUGCAAGUCGAACGAAGCACUUUAUUUGAUUUCCUUCGGGACUGAUUAUUUUGUGACUGAGUGGCGGACGGGUGAGUAACGCGUGGGUAACCUGCCUUGUACAGGGGGAUAACAGUUGGAAACGGCUGCUAAUACCGCAUAAGCGCACAGCAUCGCAUGAUGCAGUGUGAAAAACUCCGGUGGUAUAAGAUGGACCCGCGUUGGAUUAGCUAGUUGGUGAGGUAACGGCCCACCAAGUCGACGAUCGGUAGCCGGACUGAGAGGUUGAACGGCCACAUUGGGACUGAGACACGGCCCAGACUCCUACGGGAGGCAGCAGUGAGGGAUAUUGGUCAAUGGGGGAAACCCUGAACCAGCAACGCCGCGUGAGGGAUGACGGCCUUCGGGUUGUAAACCUCUGUCCUCUGUGAAGAUAAUGACGGUAGCAGAGGAGGAAGCUCCGGCUAACUACGUGCCAGCAGCCGCGGUAAUACGUAGGGAGCAAGCGUUGUCCGGAUUUACUGGGUGUAAAGGGUGCGUAGGCGGUUCGGCAAGUCAGAAGUGAAAUCCAUGGGCUUAACCCAUGAACUGCUUUUGAAACUGUCGAACUUGAGUGAAGUAGAGGUAGGCGGAAUUCCCGGUGUAGCGGUGAAAUGCGUAGAGAUCGGGAGGAACACCAGUGGCGAAGGCGGCCUACUGGGCACCAACUGACGCUGAGGCUCGAAAGUGUGGGUAGCAAACAGGAUUAGAUACCCUGGUAGUCCACACCGUAAACGAUGAUUACUAGGUGUUGGAGGAUUGACCCCUUCAGUGCCGCAGUUAACACAAUAAGUAAUCCACCUGGGGAGUACGACCGCAAGGUUGAAACUCAAAGGAAUUGACGGGGGCCCGCACAAGCAGUGGAGUAUGUGGUUUAAUUCGACGCAACGCGAAGAACCUUACCAAGUCUUGACAUCCCUUGACGAACAUAGAAAUAUGUUUUCUCUUCGGAGCAAGGAGACAGGUGGUGCAUGGUUGUCGUCAGCUCGUGUCGUGAGAUGUUGGGUUAAGUCCCGCAACGAGCGCAACCCUUACUGUCAGUUACUACGCAAGAGGACUCUGGCAGGACUGCCGUUGACAAAACGGAGGAAGGUGGGGAUGACGUCAAAUCAUCAUGCCCUUUAUGACUUGGGCUACACACGUACUACAAUGGCGUUAAACAAAGAGAAGCAAGACCGCGAGGUGGAGCAAAACUCAGAAACAACGUCCCAGUUCGGACUGCAGGCUGCAACUCGCCUGCACGAAGUCGGAAUUGCUAGUAAUCGUGGAUCAGCAUGCCACGGUGAAUACGUUCCCGGGCCUUGCACACACCGCCCGUCA
rnacentral:rRNA from 1 species